rnacentral:rRNA from 1 species
CACGUAAGGGGCUAGCGUUGUUCGGAAUUAUUGGGCGUAAAGGGUGCGCAGGCGGUUUAACAAGUCUGGUGUGAAAAACCUUAGCUUAACUAAGGGGACGCAUUGGAAACUGUUAGACUAGAGUAGUUGAGAGGAAGCCGGAAUUCCUAGUGUAGGGGUGAAAUCUGUAGAUAUUAGGAAGAACACCAAUGGCGAAGGCAGGCUUCUGGCAACAAACUGACGCUCAUGCACGAAAGCGUGGGGAGCAAACAGGAUUAGAUACCCUGGUAGUCCACGCUGUAAACUUUGUACACUAGAUGUUGGGGGUAACUCCGGUAUCGAAGCUAACGCGUUAAGUGUACCGCCUGGGGAGUAUGCUCGCAAGGGUGAA